rnacentral:rRNA from 1 species
UGGGGAAUCUUGGACAAUGGGCGAAAGCCUGAUCCAGCCAUGCCGCAUGAGAGAAGAAGGCCUUUGGGUUGUAAAGCUCUUUUAGUGAGGAAGAUAAUGACGGUACUCACAGAAGAAGUCCUGGCUAACUCCGUGCCAGCAGCCGCGGUAAUACGGAGAGGGCUAGCGUUAUUCGGAAUUAUUGGGCGUAAAGGGCGCGUAGGCUGGUUAAUAAGUUAAAAGUGAAAUCCCGAGGCUUAACCUUGGAAUUGCUUUUAAAACUAUUAAUCUAGAGAUUGAAAGAGGAUAGAGGAAUUCCUGAUGUAUAGGUAAAAUUCGUAAAUAUUAGGAGGAACACCAGUGGCGAAGGCGUCUAUCUGGUUCAAAUCUGACGCUGAAGCGCGAAGGCGUGGGGAGCAAACA